CCUCUGGUAGCUCAGUUGGUAGAGCGGUGGACUGUAGAUCCAUAGGUCGCUGGUUCAAAUCAGGCCCAGAGGA
rnacentral:tRNA from 1 species